rnacentral:rRNA from 1 species
CGAGCGGACAGAUGGGAGCUUGCUCCCUGAUGUCAGCGGCGGACGGGUGAGUAACACGUGGGUAACCUGCCUGUAAGACUGGGAUAACUCCGGGAAACCGGGGCUAAUACCGGAUGCUUGAUUGAACCGCAUGGUUCAAUUAUAAAAGGUGGCUUUUAGCUACCACUUACAGAUGGACCCGCGGCGCAUUAGCUAGUUGGUGAGGUAACGGCUCACCAAGGCAACGAUGCGUAGCCAACCUGAGAGGGUGAUCGGCCACACUGGGACUGAAACACGGCCCAAACUCCUACGGGAGGCAGCAGUAGGGAAUCUUCCGCAAUGGACGAAAGUCUGACGGAGCAACGCCCCGUGAGUGAUGAAGGUUUUCGGAUCGUAAAACUCUGUUGUUAGGGAAAAACAAGUACCGUUCGAAUAGGGCGGUACCUUGACGGUACCUAACCAAAAAGCCACGGCUAACUACGUGCCAGCAGCCGCGGUAAUACGUAGGUGGCAAGCGUUGUCCGGAAUUAUUGGGCGUAAAGCGCGCGCAGGCGGUUUCUUAAGUCUGAUGUGAAAGCCCCCGGCUCAACCGGGGAGGGUCAUUGGAAACUGGGGAACUUGAGUGCAGAAGAGGAGAGUGGAAUUCCACGUGUAGCGGUGAAAUGCGUAGAGAUGUGGAGGAACACCAGUGGCGAAGGCGACUCUCUGGUCUGUAACUGACGCUGAGGCGCGAAAGCGUGGGGAGCGAACAGGAUUAGAUACCCUGGUAGUCCACGCCGUAAACGAUGAGUGCUAAGUGUUAGAGGGUUUCCGCCCUUUAGUGCUGCAGCAAACGCAUUAAGCACUCCGCCUGGGGAGUACGGUCGCAAGACUGAAACUCAAAGGAAUUGACGGGGGCCCGCACAAGCGGUGGAGCAUGUGGUUUAAUUCGAAGCAACGCGAAGAACCUUACCAGGUCUUGACAUCCUCUGACAACCCUAGAGAUAGGGCUUCCCCUUCGGGGGCAGAGUGACAGGUGGUGCAUGGUUGUCGUCAGCUCGUGUCGUGAGAUGUUGGGUUAAGUCCCGCAACGAGCGCAACCCUUGAUCUUAGUUGCCAGCAUUCAGUUGGGCACUCUAAGGUGA